rnacentral:rRNA from 1 species
UACGUAGGGUGCAAGCGUUGUCCGGAAUUAUUGGGCGUAAAGAGCGUGUAGGCGGCCCGAUUAGUCCGCUGUGAAAGUCCAGGGCUCAACCCUGGAAUGCCGGUGGAUACUGUCGGGCUAGAGUCCGGAAGGGGCGAGUGGAAUUCCUGGUGUAGCGGUGAAAUGCGCAGAUAUCAGGAGGAACACCAAUGGCGAAGGCGGCCCGCUGGGCAGUGGCUGACGCUGAGGCGCGACAGCGUGGGGAGCAAACAGG